rnacentral:rRNA from 1 species
CGAACUGCCGUUGGACAAAACGGAGGAAGGUGGGGAUGACGUCAAAUCAUCAUGCCCCUUAUGUUCUGGGCUACACACGUGCUACAAUGGCCGGUACAGACGGACGCAAAGCCGCGAGGUGGAAGCAAAUCCUAAAAAGCCGGUCUCAGUUCGGAUUGCAGGCUGCAAUUCGCCUGCAUGAAGUCGGAAUCGCUAGUAAUCGCAGGUCAGCAUACUGCGGUGAAUACGUUCCCGGGCCUU